GUGCUUGUUAGAGAACAAGGGUACUGAGCGUGACCAAGACAAGAAGUCACUUGGAUGUCUAUCCACUCGUCAGUGACUUGCUUGAUGUUGCAGUAGUGUGACUGGUCCUUUGACCUGCGGUGCUUCGGCUACUCACAGUGAGGUUAUUGUAGUUUGACUGCACACAUAUAUGGUCUCUAGCCAUAUGGGUCCAUGCAAUGUAGAUUGGCUGCAGUAGGUUCACUGUAGGAGUAGGGUAUGCACCUACAAGAAAUCUAUCGAUCUUGAUAGAAGAGGAGUGAUCCUAUGUGAUUUGUUAGACUGAGUUCUAAGACCUUGGCCAGGGCAGUAAUAUAAAGUGGAGAAAGAGUUUUCCACUAUCGAACUCGAGUCGAAUAAAUCUUGACAUAUGACAGACGAUGGGGUUUGACGAGUUGUCCAUGACCUCCGUCCUGUAGGGAUCCACGAUAGUAGGACUGUAUCACACGUUAACUGCACCUAGAGGUUCAUCAUUCCAUUCUGCUGGGUAGCCACUACAUGCUGCUAGGUGUCACUAGUGGAUGGUGGGACUC
rnacentral:lncRNA from 1 species